rnacentral:rRNA from 1 species
AAUGGGGGAAACCCUGAUGCAGCCAUGCCGCGUGUGUGAAGAAGGCCUUCGGGUUGUAAAGCACUUUCAGUAGGGAGGAAGGUAGUGUAGUUAACACCUGCAUUAUUUGACGUUACCUACAGAAGAAGCACCGGCUAACUCCGUGCCAGCAGCCGCGGUAAUACGGAGGGUGCGAGCGUUAAUCGGAAUUACUGGGCGUAAAGCGCAUGCAGGCGGCCUGUUAAGUCAGAUGUGAAAGCCCCGGGGCUUAACCUCGGAAUUGCAUUUGAAACUGGCAGGCUAGAGUCUUGUAGAGGGGGGUAGAAUUUCAGGUGUAGCGGUGAAAUGCGUAGAGAUCUGAAGGAAUACCAGUGGCGAAGGCGGCCCCCUGGACAAAGACUGACGCUCAGAUGCGAAAGCGUGGGGAGCAAACAGGAUUAGAUACCCUGGGAG